rnacentral:rRNA from 1 species
UACGGGGGGGGCAAGCGUUGUUCGGAAUUACUGGGCGUAAAGGGCGCGUAGGCGGCCUUCUAAGUCGGACGUGAAAUCCCUCGGCUUAACCGAGGAACUGCGUCCGAUACUGAAAGGCUUGAAUCCGGGAGAGGGAUGUGGAAUUCCAGGUGUAGCGGUGAAAUGCGUAGAUAUCUGGAGGAACACCGGUGGCGAAGGCGGCAUCCUGGACUGGUCCUGACACUCAUGAGCGAAAGCGUGGGGAGCGAUCCGG